rnacentral:rRNA from 1 species
GAUGAACGCUGGCGGCGUGCCUAAUACAUGCAAGUCGAGCGAACGGACGAGAAGCUUGCUUCUCUGAUGUUAGCGGCGGACGGGUGAGUAACACGUGGAUAACCUACCUAUAAGACUGGGAUAACUUCGGGAAACCGGAGCUAAUACCGGAUAAUAUUUUGAACCGCAUGGUUCAAAAGUGAAAGACGGUCUUGCUGUCACUUAUAGAUGGAUCCGCGCUGCAUUAGAUAGUUGGUAAGGUAACGGCUUACCAAGGCAACGAUGCAUAGCCGACCUGAGAGGGUGAUCGGCGACCCUGGAACUGAGACACGGUCCAGACUCCUACGGGAGGCAGCAGUAGGGAAUCUUCCGCAAUGGGCGAAAGCCUGACGGAGCAACGCCGCGUGAGUGAUGAAGGUCUUCGGAUCGUAAAACUCUGUUAUUAGGGAAGAACAUAUGUGUAAGUAACUGUGCACAUCUUGACGGUACCUAAUCAGAAAGCCACGGCUAACUACGUG